AUCGAUGAAGAACGCAGCGAAAUGCGAUAAGUAAUGUGAAUUGCAGAAUUCAGUGAAUCAUCGAAUCUUUGAACGCACCUUGCGCCCCUUGGCUAUUCCGAGGGGCAUGCCUGUUUGAGUAUCAUGAACACCUCAACUCUCAUGGUUCGCCGUGAUGAGCUUGGACUCUGGGGGAUUUGCUGGCCUGCGGUCGGCUCCCCUCAAAUGAAUCAGCCUCCCAGUGUUUGGUGGCAUCACGGGUGUGAUAAAUAUCUACGCUCGCGGUUGUCUGCCAGAUAACCUUUGGUGACAAAGGUUUGCUGGAGCUUACAGACGUCUCUCCUCAGYGAGGACAGCUUUUUGGACGUUCGAUCUCAAAUCAGGUAGGACUACCCGCUGAACUUAAGCAUAUCAAUAAGCGGAGGAAAAGAAACUAACAAGGAUUCCCCUAGUAACUGCGAGUGAAGCGGGAAGAGCUCAAAUUUAAAAUCUGGCGUGCCUCUGGCCGUCCGAGUUGUAGUCUAGAGAAGUGUUUUCCGUGUUGGACCGUGUAUAAGUCUCUUGGAACAGGGCGUCAUAGAGGGUGAGAAUCCCGUCUUUGACACGGACUACCAAUGCUUUGUGAUACACUCUCAAAGAGUCGAGUUGUUUGGGAAUGCAGCUCAAAAUGGGUGGUAAAUUCCAUCUAAAGCUAAAUAUAGGCGAGAGACCGAUAGCGAACAAGUACCGUGAGGGAAAGAUGAAAAGCACUUUGGAAAGAGAGUUAAACAGUACGUGAAAUUGCUGAAAGGGAAACGCUUGAAGUCAGUCACGUCUGCCAGGACUCAGCCUUGCUUCUGCUUGGUGUACUUUCUGGUUGGAUGGGCCAACAUCAAUUUUGACCGUUGGAGAAAGGCUUUGGGAAUGUGGCACCUUYGGGUGUGUUAUAGCCCAUUGUCGUAUACAACGGUUGGGAUUGAGGACUGCAGCAUGCCUUCAUGGCCGGGGUUCGCCCACGUACAUGCUUAGGAUGUUGGCAUAAUGGCUUUAAGCGACCCGUCUUGAAACACGG
rnacentral:rRNA from 1 species